AGGGAUCAGGGCAAGCCCGGAGACCACCACAUGCUGACCCACACUCUGGACAGCCCUGGGGAAAAAAAGGCGAUUCCCACCAACCCUGCACUCAGGGAACCCAUGUGAGUUACCUGGUGGAGACCGGUAUGGAAUGCACAAUAUGGUCUGAGGCUGGCCCAAAGUAGGCUCAGCCCUAGACCGCCCAUAUACAGAGUGAAGUCCCUCCAAUUGCUGUGUCAGAUCCUGGAAGCCUGCCUGGUCUGGAGGUCACUUUCAGCAGCGGAGAUGGUUUCCGAUUGCUAUCAUUGGGUACAUCCCACUUCUACUUAAAAAUAGCAACGAUUCUGAGUAGGUCAGAAAAAUCAAUGGAUCCACAGAAGCCUCGGACAAAGCACAAAAGCACCAAAGUUUCGGGAAAGAAGAUAGAAAGCCAUUCUCCCUAUCCAACUAAACCACAAGGCCAGGGCUCCGAAGAAAGAAACGUGAGGAGGGGCUUCACGCGUGAACGGAAUGCUUUAGAGCCUAGAAGGGAGAGGAUCAAAAUAUCUAUCGCACAGGCCUGGAACCGGAAAAUGGAGCCGAAAGAAAAGAAAGCGAGCUGGCAGCCGCCGUCCGUGAGGAGGAACAUGACCAUUGCUCUAUGUCAUGGUUCCAGAGCCCGUGGUCAUCAGAGUCACUUGGAGAGAGUUCUAAAGCAGAGGUUUCCAUGCAACACCCAGGAACCCAGAAAUUCCUUACAGAAAGAACUUACUAUUCAAAGCUCCCUGUCCUGUCAUGUCCAGCCAAAUUUGGGGACCCCUGGCCUUGGGUAUGCCAAUUCUGUCAAAAUGUGUAUAUUCUGUGGUGUUUGUCCCAGAGGCCUGUCAAGAUGCUCAAAAUAUGCCUCACAGAAGCCAGAGACUGGCUAAUCAGUGAUGGCACGUGUUGCCUGUCUCAGACCUUAAUCUGGAAAGAACUUAAGAGUAUCUGUCUAGGGCUGGAGAGAUGGCUCAGUGGUUAAGAGCACCGACUGCUCUUCCAGAGGUCCUGAGUUCAAAUCCCAGC
rnacentral:sRNA from 1 species